rnacentral:hammerhead_ribozyme from 1 species
AUCUAGUUGAUGAGUUUCAAAUAGAACGAAACAUACGUCCUGGAU